rnacentral:ncRNA from 1 species
UUUUGUAAUCGCGGGAGCUCGGAGCACCGGGCUGAGAGGGCGCUGACCUCCGUCAUCGCGAUGUUUCACAUGAAACAUCGGCAGACGGAAACCGCUGCGUCGACCGCUGAACCUGUUACCGGGUAAUGCCGGCGUAGGGAGUAGGUCUCAUGACCAU